rnacentral:rRNA from 1 species
GAUGAACGCUGGCGGCGUGCCUAAUACAUGCAAGUCGAGCGAACGGACGAGAAGCUUGCUUCUCUGAUGUUAGCGGCGGACGGGUGAGUAACACGUGGAUAACCUACCUAUAAGACUGGGAUAACUUCGGGAAACCGGAGCUAAUACCGGAUAAUAUUUUGAACCGCAUGGUUCAAAAGUGAAAGACGGUCUUGCUGUCACUUAUAGAUGGAUCCGCGCUGCAUUAGCUAGUUGGUAAGGUAACGGCUUACCAAGGCAACGAUGCAUAGCCGACCUGAGAGGGUGAUCGGCCACACUGGAACUGAGACACGGUCCAGACUCCUACGGGAGGCAGCAGUAGGGAAUCUUCCGCAAUGGGCGAAAGCCUGACGGAGCAACGCCGCGUGAGUGAUGAAGGUCUUCGUAUCGUAAAACUCUGUUAUUAGGGAAGAACAUAUGUGUAAGUAACUGUGCACAUCUUGACGGUACCUAAUGAGAAAGCCACGGCUAACUACGUG